rnacentral:piRNA from 1 species
UUGACUCUGGAGAAGCAAACCCAC